CUUCCUCCCUCUCGGGGAGGGAAGCCAGAGUGCCCGGAACACCAAGGGGCGAGCCUCUGAAUAGUUUUGUUUUAAAAGACAAGCCUAAUUACCACUUUUUCUGGCUCCUUGAAGAAAAAGAAAGAGUUCCCCUGCAAGUCUCCAUUCACCGAUUUCCAGGGGAGGUCCUCUGUGCUGUGCCAGACGGCAAGGCUGGAUGGCCCCAAUCCUGCUCAGACCCUCAGGCUCGGGCUCAGAAUGUGGAGGAGACUGAGGACCCACAGCUUUGCACGAGCCCCCGCGGGCCCUCCAAUUCCAAGAACCAUCUCUCACCUGUUCACGCGUAGCUCCCUCUCCCUCCCACGGCGCCACCCUUUUCACUUCUCUCCUGCACCAUCAGUGAACAGGAAAACUGGAGCAGAGAGGACCAAGGCAGCCUGUGCCAGAGGCGCCUCUCCAUCACUGGUCAGGAGGGAGCAGCUGCUCCAUUUCUUUGGCCCUCAGACCACGGAGCCCCGGGUCACCAGCCUAAACCGCUUAAUGCGCAUCACGCCUGGGUCUCCUUGGAAAUGGCUGAAGCACUUAAAUGGAACGCCCCACCUUUGUCCUCCGCUCCAAAACCACAGGCAGAACUGCACUUGAACCAUCCUUGAACCCAUUUCGCUCUGAAAGAUGCCACCAUUCUGUAGCAAGUGGAGGCGGGCUGGGACAGUGAUUAAGACCACAGACCAGCAGCUACGUGUCCACACGUCAGCCCCUCCUCUCUAUGUGACGUGGGGCAAGUUCCUUCACUUGUCGCAGUCUCCUUCUCCUCCCCUGAUUCAUGAGGAGAAACCCCCCAGUUCCUGUCCUCACAGCUGGAACUUCCUCUUCGCACUAAUUGGAAAAACAUCCUCCGGGGAAGGGCCCAUCUUCACUGAGUGAAUCUUUGGUGGUGACUACAUCAGCUGGAACCUGGCUGGAGCGUUAGCAGCCCUUUUGCACAAUGAGGUGACUUUGGAGAUGAAGUCCAUGUUGCUGGAGAGCGAAAUGCCAUACCAGCCCUGGAGUAACGUCAAAAGAGACAGAAGCCCUGACCGGUUUGGCUCAGUGGAUAGAGCACAUGUCAGCCAGUGAGUCGGCCUGCGGACUGAAGGGUCCCAGGUUCAAUUCC